UACGUAGGGUGCAAGCGUUGUCCGGAAUUAUUGGGCGUAAAGAGCUCGUAGGCGGCUCGUUGCGUCGGCUGUGAAAACCCGCAGCUCAACUGUGGGCUUGCAGCUGAUACGGGCGGGCUAGGAUUCGGUAGGGGAGACUGGAAUUCCUGGUGUAGCGGUGAAAUGCGCAGAUAUCAGGAGGAACACCGGUGGCGAAGGCGGGUCUCUGGGCCGAUAUCGACGCUGAGGAGCGAAAGCGUGGGGAGCGAACAGG
rnacentral:rRNA from 1 species